UUAACUUUUAUUUCAUAUCAAUAUAUAAUGUUGGAAUACACUAUAAGACGCAAUAAAAUCCUUUAAUAAUUUACUUUUAUUGUUGAUAAUUGUAUCACAAAAAUUUGUCUAGGAACUGAAAUUUGGUGCUAAUAAAAAGUUAGUUUUGUAGGUUUGAGGUGGACAUUCACAAACAUGAUCCUUACAUAUGCAUAGUAGAUGGGGAUAAAUAGCAUCACAUUGGCUUUCAGUAUCACAACGGAAAGAGAUAACGGGACCCAUCCUUGCCUCUGAUUUAUUGCACAUAUCUACAUAUACAAUAUCAUAGUUAACAUAUGAAAAUAUUAUUAUUUGAGUAUUUCAAUGUUUUGACAAAAAUACAUCACAAAUGUAAUAUUUCGAAAAAUUGAUAUGUUUAGCUAAAAUAUUUGGAAGAGAUUGAGAGUAUAGCAUGAUUAAUGACCUGAUGCAAUGGUGAUCACAAAAAUUAGUAAGAUUGCAAAUUUCAUAGCUGAAGUUUUUGGGAAAUCCAUAUUCACAAAU
rnacentral:lncRNA from 1 species